rnacentral:rRNA from 1 species
AUGAACGCUGGCGGCGUGCCUAAUACAUGCAAGUCGAGCGAACAGACGAGGAGCUUGCUCCUCUGACGUUAGCGGCGGACGGGUGAGUAACACGUGGAUAACCUACCUAUAAGACUGGGAUAACUUCGGGAAACCGGAGCUAAUACCGGAUAAUAUAUUGAACCGCAUGGUUCAAUAGUGAAAGACGGUUUUGCUGUCACUUAUAGAUUGAUCCGCGCCGCAUUAGCUAGUUGGUAAGGUAACGGCUUACCAAGGCAACGAUGCGUAGCCGACCUGAGAGGGUGAUCGGCCACACUGGAACUGAGACACGGUCCAGACUCCUACGGGAGGCAGCAGUAGGGAAUCUUCCGCAAUGGGCGAAAGCCUGACGGAGCAACGCCGCGUGAGUGAUGAAGGUCUUCGGAUCGUAAAACUCUGUUAUUAGGGAAGAACAAAUGUGUAAGUAACUAUGCACGUCUUGACGGUACCUAAUCAGAAAGCCACGGCUAACUACGUG